GGGGGCGUUCCGGAUUCGACUGGAUAGGUGGGGCGUCGGUUGCAUGCGGAGGAUGGUCGUUGGCCUCCAUAAUCCCCGACCAAAAACGUAACUGCGGAAGAAGAGUACGCACUCGCUGCAUAAAAGCGGCGACGUCUUUGCCCGGACGCCCGAUAAGGGUAAAGGCGACGGCAUCGGGCUGGAUUGGCCGGCCCAACGAGUCCAGGUCGGUCAAUGACAAAAUUAAAGGGCUCUAGUUCCGCUGAAUGGUCUGUGCCUCGCCAGCGGCGGAGCGAAACUUAAAGAAGGCACUAAGCAUGUAGAGACCGGCGUCGCGUCUGUUCAGGACGGGGGUUCGACUCCCCCCGCCUCCACCA
rnacentral:tmRNA from 1 species